ACAGUCACCUUGCAAGGGAGACAGCAUGAUCACAAAGCUGGUUUUCCCAGGGCAGGUUCACCGAUUGCACUGCCGGGAUGCUGAGUGUUAUGAGUUCCACAACUUUGGGGGAAACACAACUGUACAGUGUGUGGUAUUGGAGAACUGGAUUCACACUUUGCUCUCAC
rnacentral:snRNA from 1 species